rnacentral:pre_miRNA from 1 species
UACGUACUCUCUCCGUUCGGAAUUACUUGUCGCGAAAAUGGAUAUAUCUAGACGUAUUUUAGUUCUAGAUAUAUCCAUUUCCAAAACAAGUAAUUUCGAACGGAGGGAGUACAAA